GUGUAGGAAAUCAUCAAAAGUAGGUAUAGGUAGCUUAAUCUUUCGCCAUAGGUCAAGUAUAACAGCACAUUAUAAAGAAUUUAGUUAAGAAUCAGUAAUCUGUCCCAGUCAAGUAGGUUUAGGAAAUGUCUAUAAGUUGCUCAACAGAUGUGUCACAUUUAAUCACUGAAAUUCCAGUCAUAUCUCCAAUUUUUGGUAAUGCGAGCUACUCAUUCGUAUUAUAAGUUAAGCUGCGCCGCUCCUAACAUCCUUGUUUAUCGUUAUUAUCCAUAAAUUUCUCCGUUAUCGUUCAAGGGCGAGCCUUGAGUUUAUUACGCCGGGUUGUGAACGUCGAUACUCUCGAGGCUGCGGGGCGGCAGGAUGGCGGCACUUUCCAAACACGUGGAAUAAGGUUAUGUGCAGGGGGUAGCUAGGCGGUGACCUGAAAGGUCGUGGUUCUUUAAAAUGGGGAGCUGAACUUGGAAACUUGAAGUACCGUUUCUCCUCUAUGGGAAUGGAAUGCGACCUCAGAACGGUCGAGCACGUCCUUUCCCCUCUAAUAAAGUUACAAAUUCUCGGGUUUAUUAAUAAAGUUAUAAUUGCCUGCCGCCGAGAAGCGACCUUGGCAUUAACAUUCGCAGUGCCAGCCACGAUAAGAUAAUGUUUUCACCGGGUCUCGGACAAUCUCGCACCAACACAACAUACAUAAUAUUAUAGCAAUUGCCAAUGAAAAAGCCAAGUCUACAGUACCUACUUUCCAUCGCAACCAACUACCAAAGGACUUGGAGCUACGGAGAAUCAAUAUAAAAAAAGUUUAAUUUUGUUUUGGAGUAAAAAAAUAAGAAGACAUUUAAAAAAUCAAAGAGUUUGAUGUGAGGGCUGUCGGUUUGUGCAGUAACAAGUGAGUUCGUGACAAAACUGGGCCAGAACGAUCUGGGGUCACCCAGCGGGUAAAUCGAUGCAGCUCCGCCAGGCGGAGCAAGGUCAAGGUUGCUGCCGGCGACCGUGAAUAACGGGCAAACUUCGGCCUGUUAUACCGGCUUCGGCCAGCAAUUUAAUCAUAGUUUAAUGUUGAAGCAAUCCAAAAUGUCUGAACAACACAGACCCUAAUUUGAUCUCAGACUUUGAGAGGUUACUCUUCACAUUUGCCUACAAUUUCGGAUCUCAUCCGUUCAUCCCGGUGUUGCCAAAUAAGUCGCAUAAGCGAAGAAUUGCAUUGUUGCCAUUUCCGGGGAAAAUACUGGACAUACCAUAUUGAUGACGAAAUGAACUAUCGGGAAUAUGAUGAAGUCUUUAAACAAGCCAUCACAUAGUGAUGAAAUGGCUGUUCGAGCUCUAACUCCAGUGACUAUGGCGGGAGUCAACUGAUACAAAGAGGCAAAGAAGAACAUCCAUUUUUAACUCCAAAUUCGUACUCAAUGCAAGCAGAACAACAAGCCUUUCCACUUUUUUCAGAAACUCCUUCAUGAUCGUUGUAGAGGCGUAGUAAGUACCUAGCAGAUUUCAGUGUUUCCAGAUUAGAGUCUUUGAUCAUAUAAAUGAAAAUAACUCUUGGGCAAAACAGUUUUGAUUCGGCUUGCUGCAGCCAUAGCAGGUCCUCCUGCAUUCCGUUUUAGUCAAACCGCGUGGGUUACAUUCUAGAUAACCUAAUGACGUCAAGGCCUCAUGGCCAUCGCAUGACCCACAGGUUUUACUAAAGGCACAAUAGCAUUAGGAAUGAACAAAACGCUGAUAUGUUGAAAACGUAUAAAAAUCUGGAGUAGCGAAGGCCAACAUUUUGUUGGGGCAAUGACUUAAAGUGCAAAGACACUUUUCUGACGGUAAUCUCGAUUUGAAUGCAUCCGAUAUGGAGCUGCACGCAGUUCAAAACUGCACAAAACGGAAUGAAGUCAGACAUGGCAAUUAAUUUAUUAAAAUAGUGUAAUUUCCACGACUUAUAGCGACUGGAACCUAGAGAUGUGUCACAACACCCACUUAAACAUGUAAAUGGAAAUGUGUGCUUGAUUGGCUAUUAACAUUCCAGAAGGAUCAUUGAAGAAGAUAUUUUUGUCAUCUGUACACACCACAAGUGGAAGACAGUUUUCUGAUUACUUUAGGAGUAUAUGUUUAUCAGAGGACGCGAGAAAAAAGUCGUUGAAAAAACAUCUUGCUGCAUCGAGCUGUAGAAACCAAAUAGCGCGUCCAAUGGGAACGCGUUCCUGGACGCAUCGACUCAGUGUCAAUUUGCUUCCCUGUCAACAGCCCCCCACGUUGCCGGCUUACACCAUUCGAAUCGGGAUCUUAACCAUGGAACGGGUCGUCCGGAUGGACAUACUGUCUGCUCUUGCAGCUGCAUGACACAAUGUGGCAACAGUUUCUCUUGUACUUUUCCGAAACUUGGCGCACGACCUUUCCAUGACCCGCGGUCCUUGGCAAUGACGUUAGUCGGUUAUACCCUACCCCCGUCCAAUCGAUGGGCGGCCUUUUCGCGGGGGGAAGCUGGAGAGGAAGCGACCUUGACCUCAGCUGCAUUCUAUCUAGCUGCAGCUGCACGCUCAGGGUCGGAACGACAUUGUCAGGGCGGCUGCCGACCAAUUAGGGAGCACAGUCGAUUGAGUAUCAAUGCCUCUCAAUUUCCAUCAGCUAUAACUGCCUGGCGUUCAGACCGGUACAGAUUCUAACGCUGUUUUGCCUGCAAAGUUGCUGUUAUGCUUUGAAGUCGAGGUAAAUGUUACACACAUCAGGAGAGUGUUUUACAAAUUACAUGCCAUUCUUCUGUUAAUAAAUGCAGAUAUUUAUUUAUGUACACUGCCGAGGACACAAAAUGAAUAAAUACAAUAAUCGAGUGAAAAUAAACACAUAAAUGACCGUUAAAAUGCAAAAGCAUGCGGAUAUUGUUACAUUUAUUGUGUAACUGUUGGAAGGCUAGAGGGAAGCGUAUUACCAGAGGAAAGGACAAGGUUGUGCAGCUCUAAUAACAAGGAGUUUCACUGAUGAGGAAGUCAUGAAAUCCCUGGCCUACAAAAUGUAUUCAAGGAACACUAAUAAAAUGUCUCCAGAAAGUGUAUCAAUAUUGUGCAAUGGUCAUUACAAUAUAUUCUUCUACUAAACACGGAUAUUUGCAAAAAUAUAAAGGCAACCGAUAUGGAAUCUGAAGCUAACAGGCAAAUAAAAAAAUACAGAAACUGUAA